CUACGGGGGGCUCCAGUGAGGAAUAUUGCACAAUGGGGGGAACCCUGAUGCAGCAACGCCGCGUGGAGGAUGACGCAUUUCGGUGUGUAAACUCCUUUUAUAUGUCAAGAAAAUGACGGUAGCAUAUGAAUAAGCACCGGCUAACUCCGUGCCAGCAGCCGCGGUAAUACGGAGGGUGCAAGCGUUACUCGGAAUCACUGGGCGUAAAGGACGCGUAGGCGGGUUGGAAAGUCAGGUGUGAAAUCCUACAGCUUAACUGUAGAACUGCACUUGAAACUUCUAAUCUAGAGUAUGGGAGGGGGAGAUGGAAUUAGUGGUGUAGGGGUAAAAUCCGUAGAUAUCACUAGGAAUACCUAAAGCGAAGGCGAUCUCCUGGAACAUUACUGACGCUAAGGCGUGAAAGCGUGGGGAGCAAACAGGAUUAGAUACCCCAGUAGUC
rnacentral:rRNA from 1 species